CCCUUAGAUGUUCUGGGCUGCACGCGCGCUACACUGACAUACUCAGCAAGUUUCCUUUCCCGAAAGGGUUGGGUAAUCUUGUUAGUGUAUGUCGUGAUGGGGAUAGAAUAUUGUAAUUAUUGCUCUUUAACGAGGAAUUCCUAGUAAGCGCAAGUCAACAGCUUGCGCUGAUUACGUCCCUGCCCUUUGUACACACCGCCCGUCGCUCCUACCGAUGAAUCGUCCGGUGAAGCGUUCGGACCGUGGCCUUUGGACGGUUCGCCGUCUGUUGGCUGCGGGAAGUUCGUUAAACCUUAUCAUUUAGAGGAAGGAGAAGUCGUAACA
rnacentral:rRNA from 1 species